UGGCCAGCCCUGAGGUUCAUACUUCCCAUGUUGAUAUGCAUAAAUAUUUGUAGUCCUCCACUCCGAGCAGUAAUAAAUCCAUAAUAAUCUUCCCAAGUUAUAAAUUAAUUGUUCAAAUGUUCUCCCCUUAAAUCAAUAGUGUAUAUACCAUUCGUUCAAUGAAGGAUCAAGUGUAAAUAGUGAUAUAACCUCCAAAUGUCGAUCUCUUGCAUCAGCUCCUCUGCUGAAUUCUUAAAUGAGAUUUGGAAUUGCCAAUGGCUCCAACAAUCAAAGCAUCAAGUCAUAGAAAAAAUGUUGAAUCAGAAGAAUGAAAAAUUGAAAAAUGAAAAAUUGUAUCAUUUUCAAGAUAAAGAGAAUGCUCUUGCAUUUUUUAAAUAUCUUCAGUGUUCAUAAAUUUAUUAGUAAUAAUAAUGGGGUUAAGGACAAUUUAUUCGCAUCCUUAUCAAAUGAAAAACGCACCAUGAGAAAAGAAAAUCCGUGAUCCAUCGCUCUGGGAGAGAGGAAACUGUAUUUUUACUCUCUCAAUAACUUUUUCUUCAA